AAAAGAAUAAUUCAAAAUGGACGUCGGGGAGCUACUUUCUUUUCAGCCAGAAAAACCACAGCCCACAGGAAAAGGCAAAAAGAGAUUCCAUGAUGAUGAUGCUUCAGAUCAAGUCACUGAUAAAAGAAGGAGAGGCCAAGUAUCAUUUUCUGAGGACUCCAAGAUCAGUGAGGAAGAGAGAGAGAAGAUUCUUCAGCUGGUAGAAACAGAGACCAGUGCAGAAACUCUGGAUGAAACCAGUCUCAAAAAGAUGCUCUUAAAUUUUGAAAAAAAAGUCUACAAAAACCAAGAGCAGAGAAUUAAAUACCCAGAUCUCCCUGAGAAGUUUAUGGAAUCAGAAAUCGAAUUAAAUGAAAUCAUACAGGAAAUGCACGUGAUAGCCACUGUUCCUGAGCUGUAUCAUAUUCUGGUGGACCUGAACACUGUACAAUCCUUACUUCAACUCCUCUCUCAUGAAAACACAAACAUAUCUCAAUAGCAGUUGUGGAUUUGAUACAAGAAAUGACAGAUGUGGACACAUUGAAUGAAAAUGAUGAGGCAGCUACAGCAUUUACAGAUGUUAUGGUUGAUGGACAGAUUGUAGCAAUACUGGUUCAGAAUAUGGAAAGGCUCGAUGAAAACAAUAAGGAGGAGGCAGAUGGUGUCCACAACACUUUAGCAAUAAUUGAGAAUUUACUGGAGUAUCGCCCUGAAAUGUCAUCAGAUGCAGCUCAGCAGGGGUUACUGCAGUGGUUACUGAGAAGAAUAAAGGCAAAAAUGCCAUUUGAUGCCAAUAAACUGUAUGCCAGUGAAAUUUUAGCCAUAUUAUUACAGAACAGUGAUGAUAACAGACUGCUUCUUGGAGAUUUAGAUGGAAUUGAUGUUUUAUUACAACAGUUAGCGGCAUACAAAAGACAUGACCCCAACACCAAGGAAGAAAUUGAGAUGAUGGAGAAUCUCUUCAACUCUUUGUGUUCAUGCUUAAUGCGCUCAGAAAAUCGCAGCAAGUUCCUUCGAGGGGAGGGGCUACAGCUGAUGAAUCUCAUGUUAAGGGAAAAGAAAAUGUCCAGAAACAGUGCGAUAAAAGUGUUGAACCAUGCCAUGACUGGUCAGGAAGGGUCAGACAACAGUCAGAAAUUUGUUGAUAUUCUUGGGCUCAGAACCAUAUUUCCUUUGUUCAUGAAAACACCAACUAAAGGAAGAGCAGGUCCAUCACCUGCAGAACUAGAAGAACAUAUCACCAAUAUCAUUGCCUCCUUGUUGAGGAAUUGUCAAGCCACACAACGACAGAGACUCAUCAGUAAAUUCACAGAAAACGAUCAUGAAAAGGUUGAACGGUUAUUAGAGUUGCAUUUCAAAUACCUGGACAAGGUGAGACUGAUAGACACGGAAAUAGAACAAGAGAAACAGCGCCUGAAGAGGAGGGGUGAAGACAUGGAUGAGGACCUGGAAGACGAGUUCUACAUCCGGCGACUGGACGCUGGACUGUUCACCCUCCAGCUGGUCGACUACGUGAUGCUGGAGAUUAGUGCCACAGGGGCCUCUACAAUAAAACAAAGAAUAAUGCAGAUUUUAAAUAUGAGGGGAGGAUCUGUCAAAUCCAUUAGGAGUAUCAUGAGGGAGUAUGCCGGUAAUAUUGGUGAUGCCAAAGACCCAGAGGCCAGAGAAAAAGAACAGGACAGAAUAAUGCAGUUAGUGGACAAGUUUUUGUGAACAAAAUCAACACCUCCAGCAUUAAACUAAUGUUUACAAUGGGUUGACUGUUAGCAAAAUUCCACAAAAUGUGUUGUUUUGGAACAAACUAGAUGUUCUGUUGUUUUGUGUACAUUUUAAUAGCUCUUAGACUAACAGCAAAGUUGCAUCCUGAUUAAGUGUGGUGAAAAAUGCAGUCAUGAUUGCACUUUUAUUGAUUCAGAAUUGUACAUUCAUACAUAAAUGUCUAUAAUUGAAUAUGAAAAAUAAAAAAAAAAUGAGAAUCU
rnacentral:misc_RNA from 1 species